ensembl:lncRNA
CAGUCUCUGUCCUCCAGUAAAUGCAAAUAUCCUGGAACAAGCGGCACCAUCAAGGGAGCGCAAAGAACCGGAUACUAGUACCAGUUCCGGUGCCGGUUCCUGAGAAACUGUGGGGCAACCUCCUCUAACUGGUCACAGGACACCUUCCUGAGGGACCAUCGUGGGUGGCCAGGACUCCACGGUAAACAGAAAGACCCCAAGGAGUGGGGAAGCUGGAGUCAACUAGAGCUGCUCUCCUCUCCAGUCUCUUUGUGCAGGUUCCUCUGUCCGUGGGAUUCUCCAGGUAUUGGAGUCAGUUGCCGUGCCAUCCUCCAGGGGAUCUUCCUGACCCAGGGAUCGAACCUGCAUCUCCUGCAUCUCCUGCGCUGGCAGGUGGGUUCUUUUCCACUAGCACCACCUGGGAAGCCUGCAACAGAACAUCACUCAGCCACAAAAAAGAAUGAAACACUGCAGCAAUAUGGAUGGACCUGGAGAUGAUCGUACUUAACUACGAAAGCCAGAAAGACAAAGACGAACACCAUAUGAUGUAACUUAUAUGUGGAGUCUAAAAUAGGACUUAAGGGAAGACACCUAAGAAACAGAAACAGACUCUGACAUAGAGAACAAACUUGUGGUUGCCAAAGGGGAGGGAAGGAUUGGGAGUUCGGGAUUAGCAGAUGCAAACUAGUAUAUAUAGAACAGAUAAGAAACAGGGUCCUACUGUACAGCACAGGGAACUAAUUCAGUAUCCUGUGAUAAACCACAGUGGAAAGCAAUAUAUACAUAUAUAUAUAUAUGUGUAUGUAUAUAUAUAUAUAUGCUAUGCUAUGCUAAGUCGCUUCAGUCGUGUCCGACUCUGUGCAACCCCAUAGACGGCAGCCCACCAGGCUCCCCCGUCCCUGGGAUUCUCCAGGCAAGAACACUGGAGUGGGUUGCCAUUUCCUUCUCCAAUGCGUGAAAGUGAAAAGUGAAAAGUGAAGUUGCUCAGUCGUGUCCGACUCUUAGUGACCCCAUGGACUGCAGCCUACCAGGCUCCUCCAUCCAUGGGAUUUUCAGGCAAGAGUACUGGAGUGGGGUGCCAUUGCCUUCUCUGAUAGAUAGAUAGAUAGAUAGAUAUAUACACACACCACUUUGUUGUACAGCAGAAAUUAACACAUUAUAAAUCAAUUAUACUUCAACAAAAUUAAAAAAAAAUAAAGGAAUGACAUAAUUUUUGAGUAGAUUAUGUAAAAUGGUUAAAAAUAACUAGCUCCAACAUGGCAGAAGAUUGGACUCCCAGUAGACCCUGAGCCUCAUUGUAAAUCCAUUGUAAUAGAUUAGCAUAUGUUAAACAAUACCCCCAGUGGCACCAUGACAGUUCCAAGGCCAAGCAUAAAAGGUCAAAUAGUGGGCAUGGCCCAAUUCUUGGAAGUGUCUGUCCCUUCGCCAAAAUAGUUGGAAUAAUCCUCCCACUCAUUACCCUAUGAAAUUACCCAUCUCAUAGAAACUAACCACCCCAUAUUUCACCACUGUGCUCACCAUUUGAAAUGGACUGCAUUCUGCCUAUGGAAUUGAAACAGAAGGCGGCAGGGCACAACCUUUGAAAGAAUGAACUAGCCCAAGGACACAACAUAAACUGCUUAGAAUGAAGUAGGUCCAAGAUGGCAGACAAGUCAACUUCCACUAGACCUUGAUCCGCAGUUUACAUUCAUUGUAACACAUCAGCAAGCUUGGCAGGGCUUCUCUGGUGGCUCAGAUGGAAAAGAAUCUGCCUGCACUGCGGGAGACUAAAGUUCAAUCCCUGGGUCAGGAAGAUACCCUGGAGAAGGGAAUGGCAACCCACACUAGUAUUCUUGCUUGGAGAAUUCCAUGGACAGAGGAGCCUGGUGGGCUAUAGUCCACGUGGUCACAAAGAGUCAGACAUGACUGAGCAACUAACACUUUCAGCAAGCUAAGUGACAUACCCAGGGCACCAUGACAGCUCCAACACUGACCAUCAAAAUCAAAAGGUGGACAGUGGCCUAAUUCCUGGAAAUCUCUGUCCUUUCUCCAAAAUAGUUGGAAUAAUCCUCUCAUUCAUUAGCCUAUGAAAUUACCCAGCCCAUAAAAGCUGACCAUACCACAUUUUGAGGCCACUGCCCUCACCCUCUGUGAGGGCCCACACUCUGUCUUUGGAGGAUGUUUCUCUCUAAAUAAAUCCAGUUUUUACCUAUCAAUUUGUCUAUCAUUGAAUUCUGCAAUGAGACAUCAAGAACCUGAGAUUCGCUGGGUCUGAAACCAGGUAUGUGAUCUCAGUUGGAAGACAGUGGGUUUUGGCUGGAUGCAAGUCCCA